rnacentral:rRNA from 1 species
UACGAAGGGGGCUAGCGUUGCUCGGAAUCACUGGGCGUAAAGCGCACGUAGGCGGACUCUUAAGUCGGUGGUGAAAUCCUGGAGCUCAACUCCAGAACUGCCUUCGAUACUGAGAGUCUUGAGUCCGGGAGAGGUGAGUGGAACUGCCGAGUGUAGAGGUGAAAUUCGUAGAUAUUCGCAAGAACACCAGUGGCGAAGGCGGCUCACUGGCCCGGUACUGACGCUGAGGUGCGAAAGCGUGGG